CUAAAAACCCUAGCUGUCAUACGCGGGAACCCAGCACAAUAUUAAAACACUCAUACGCAUAUCCUUCUCCUAAACUAAAAACCCUAGCCGCAUAUCCUUCUCCUCUGUCUCCACUCCCAUCUGAGACAAUCUCUUCCCAGCAACGGCUGGAUUUGAAGAAAAACAAUGCAACUUUUUUGCUGCAAAAUGCAUAAAUCUGAACAAUAUUCUGUCUUAUAGAUGAUCUUUACUCUUUGUAGUCGCUAAUCUACCUUUAAAACAACUAAUAAGGGAUGCCUUGAAGGAGUUCAUUGGUCUCUUUGGUUUUUUUAUUAUGUAUUUUGUGCUGUUGUAACUCCUGAUCUCCAGCAACAAAUCCUUUUUGUUCUACAAUUCAAAGCAGGAAACCUCCCAAUCAUAUUUUUUGAAAAACCUGUUUAUCACUAGAAUACUGGAAUUGCACCAGUUAGAGUUUUUACAGCAAAUUCUAUGCACGUGUCCCUCCAUAAAUCACCCAAAUCCAUAUUGGGAGGUGAUACUGGCUAUUGUUUGAUACCUGCGAUAAUUUUGUGCCUUUGGGACUGUUAACGCCUAUUCCAGUAUGAGUUUUUAUAGAAAAUUGGAUGCAUGGAUUUGACCAUAGAUCCAUGGAAGGCAGGUCAAUAGGAAUAUCUAGCUUCUCAUUGUCUUGGUUCACUUUUUCAACCAUUCCAGCAUGUUACAAAGCCAGCCUUAAGCUGACCAUGCUGUUGUGAUUGCUAAUGAGCCAUACCACUAGGAGAAGAAGGAGGUGUACUAGCUCUCUGCCUCUCCAUCGUUUCUCAGUUCUCACCAUCAGAUCUCUCGAAUCAAGGUAAGAAUCCCCUCACUCCUUAAUUUGCUUUAAUAUUAUUUUCUAUAUAUUGCUCUUUCUCUCCUCUUCAAUUAUUCAUAGAAUUUUGUUAGUUUGUGGCUGUGGGUUUCUUUGGCUGCGUGGUUGGGCUUUGGUUUGCCAUCAAUAAAUAGGGGUUUUCAGAAAAUUUCUAAUUGUGCUUAUGGGGCUUUGUUUCUGUUGCUUUUUAGUAUUGCUUUGUUUAUGUUAAUAAGCAUAUUUACACUCAAAAGUUGUUGGGUUAGCAAGUGAAGGUAUCAAUAUUAAUUAGCUCCUUAUUUUUGUUCUUUGUAGAUACUUAACAGGAUUUUGUAGAAUUUUUGGUGUUUUGGCUGCUUUUAGUUCAAGUGAAUUCCAUGAGGUGAAUUUCAUGUAAGAUGUAAUUGAUAUUUUCAAUAGAAAUUGGAUGUGCAGUUGACCUCAAGCACUCACAUACCUUUAAAUCAAACAAUAAUGAACUAUCAUAGCCAGUGAGUGAGAUGUAAUGAAUUGUCUAACCACUAGCAUUAUUGUUAAGUUUUUCUUCUUUUUUUGUGAAAAUUCAUAGUUGCAAAUAUUUGAAUAAUAAAUGUUAUUAGCUUUCAUAGUUUACUUAUCCCAAAAAAAAGCUUCAUGGUGAGAUGAAGGAGUUUAGUGGUUCAAUUGAUACUUUAGUAGAAUAUAUUUUGUUCUGCCACGGACAACCAAUUUUUUAAUUUUUUUUUUUGUGAAAGCACAGUUAAUUGGAAGAAAUUAGAUCUUUCAUGUUUAAUUCAAGCAGUGUCAUAUGAAUACUUUGAUUUGCCUAGAAUCAAGAAGCAUGAAUAGGAUGGAAAUGCAAAGAAAUUUCCAUUACUUUAUCUUAUUUAUUUGGUGCUAAAUUAGAAUUUGCUUCAUGUUGGAAAAUUUACAACCUGAAGAAGUUUUUCAGUAUCUUAAUUGUACAAGAAAGGAUUUGACCUUUGAUCUGAUGGAGUUCAAGAAAGAUUGGAUUUGUUUGGAUACAACACUUGAGGAGGAAAAGGUUAGUAAAGCAAUGUUAAAAUUUUAUAUUCAUCCCUUCUUUUUAUUUUGCCAUUAUUGCUUGCUCAAUCUCCUCAUUGAUUAGUUCUUAUAUUCCUUUAUCUUGCUCUAGGAAAAGAAAAUAGUAAAGCUUUUGGGUUUUAUGUGGAUUCCUUAAAAAUUAUGACUCUAUGGCUUACUUUUUCUUGAUGACUUCAAUGUAACUAAUGUUGAAUAUUGUAGCCCUUAAUUUUUUUAUGCACAAGUCAUUAAUCAAAUUAAGUUGAAAAGACAUUUUGAAAAUUCCUAAUUAGUCAAAAUCCAUUCUUUAGUCAAAUUUUUUUGAAAUUUUUUUGAAUAUACCUAAUAUGUGCUGAAUAAAAAUUCAGAUUAUCAUGACUUUUUUGGCAUUCGGAUCUUUCUAAUACUGACAACAAUAUUAACAAUGCAGCUGAUGCUUAGCCCAAAAGUCAAUGGAAUUAUAGUUUUAUUUACCAUCAAGGUCUUCUCCGUAGAUGAAAAUGUAGUUUUAUUUAUAUCGUUGAUGGUUAUGUGGUUUGUUUCUGGUGCUAAAAGUUCUUAAUUCAAUUCCAUAAUUUUGGGCA